GAUGAACGCUAGCGGGAGGCCUAACACAUGCAAGCCGAGCGGUAGAGUUUCUUCGGAAACUUCAGAGCGGCGCCCGGGUGCGUAACACGUGUGCAACCUACCUUUAUCUGGGGGAUAGCCUUUCGAACGGAAGAUUAAUUCCCCAUAAUAUAAUGAUUGGCAUCAAUUAUUAUUGAAAACUCUUGUGGAUUGAGAUGGGAACGCGCAAGAUUGGCUAGUUGGUGAGGUAACGGCUCACCAAGUCAAUGAUCUUUAGGGGUCCGGAGAGGGAGAUCCACCACACUGGGACUGCGACCCCGACCAGACUCCUACGGGACGCAGCAGAGAGGAAGACUAGGCAAGGGAGGAGAGCCUAGUCCAGCCAUCCCGCGUGAAAGAGGACGGGGCUAUGGAAGGUAAACUUCUUUUGAAGAGGGAUAAACCUACCCUCGUGAGGGUAGCUGACGGUACUGUACGAAUAAGCACCGGCUAACUCCGUG
rnacentral:rRNA from 1 species